rnacentral:rRNA from 1 species
GGUGAACGCUGGCGGUAGGCCUAACACAUGCAAGUCGAACGGCAGCACAGUAAGAGCUUGCUCUUACGGGUGGCGAGUGGCGGACGGGUGAGGAAUACAUCGGAAUCUACUUUUUCGUGGGGGAUAACGUAGGGAAACUUACGCUAAUACCGCAUACGACCUACGGGUGAAAGCAGGGGAUCUUCGGACCUUGCGCGAUUGAAUGAGCCGAUGUCGGAUUAGCUAGUUGGCGGGGUAAAGGCCCACCAAGGCGACGAUCCGUAGCUGGUCUGAGAGGAUGAUCAGCCACACUGGAACUGAGACACGGUCCAGACUCCUACGGGAGGCAGCAGUGGGGAAUAUUGGACAAUGGGCGCAAGCCUGAUCCAGCCAUACCGCGUGGGUGAAGAAGGCCUUCGGGUUGUAAAGCCCUUUUGUUGGGAAAGAAAAGCAGCAGGUUAAUACCCCGCUGUUCUGACGGUACCAAAAGAAUAAGCACCGGCUAACUUCGUG